UAUAACAUUGUAUAUACCCACUGUGAUAUUAAGAGUAAUAGCUCUCUAGGUUAUUAUGAAUAAUAUCACAGUAGGUGUACACAAUGUUGUA
ensembl:miRNA MIR5692C1 microRNA 5692c-1